AGAGUUUGAUCCUGGCUCAGGACGAACGCUGGCGGCGUGCUUAACACAUGCAAGUCGAACGAAAAGAGGGAAAGAGCUUGCUCUUUUCAGAAUUGAGUGGCAAACGGGUGAGUAACACGUAAACAACCUGCCUUCAGGAUGGGGACAACAGACGGAAACGACUGCUAAUACCGAAUAAGUUCCAAGGGUCGCAUGGCCCAUGGAAGAAAAGGUGGCCUCUACCUGUAAGCUAUCGCCUGAAGAGGGGUUUGCGUCUGAUUAGCUGGUUGGAGGGGUAACGGCCCACCAAGGCGACGAUCAGUAGCCGGUCUGAGAGGAUGAACGGCCACACUGGAACUGAGACACGGUCCAGACUCCUACGGGAGGCAGCAGUGGGGAAUCUUCCGCAAUGGGCGAAAGCCUGACGGAGCAACGCCGCGUGAGUGAUGACGGCCUUCGGGUUGUAAAACUCUGUGAUCCGGGACGAAAAGGCAGAGUGCGAAGAACAAACUGCAUUGACGGUACCGGAAAAGCAAGCCACGGCUAACUACGUGCCAGCAGCCGCGGUAAUACGUAGGUGGCAAGCGUUGUCCGGAAUUAUUGGGCGUAAAGCGCGCGCAGGCGGCUUCCCAAGUCCCUCUUAAAAGUGCGGGGCUUAACCCCGUGAUGGGAAGGAAACUGGGAAGCUGGAGUAUCGGAGAGGAAAGUGGAAUUCCUAGUGUAGCGGUGAAAUGCGUAGAGAUUAGGAAGAACACCGGUGGCGAAGGCGACUUUCUGGACGAAAACUGACGCUGAGGCGCGAAAGCGUGGGGAGCAAACAGGAUUAGAUACCCUGGUAGUCCACGCCGUAAACGAUGGAU
rnacentral:rRNA from 1 species